AUUUAAAUAGCUUAUAUUUAGAGCAUAGUAUUGAAGAUACUAAGGAAAUUACUUAAUUUUUAAAUA
rnacentral:tRNA from 1 species